CCUACGGGUGGCAGCAGUGAGGAAUAUUGGUCAAUGGACGCAAGUCUGAACCAGCCAUGCCGCGUGCAGGAAGACGGCUCUAUGGGUUGUAAACUUCUUUUGUACGAGAAUAAACGCAGAUACGCGUGUCUGUCUGAAUGUAUCGUACGAAUAAGGAUCGGCUAACUCCGUGCCAGCAGCCGCGGUAAUACGGAGGAUUCAAGCGUUAUCCGGAUUUAUUGGGUUUAAAGGGUGCGUAGGCGGUCGUAUAAGUUAGCGGUGAAAGCCCGUGGCUCAACUUCGGAAUUGCCGUUGAUACUGGUCGGCUAGAGAGUAUUUGCGGUAGGCGGAAUGCAUGGUGUAGCGGUGAAAUGCUUAGAGAUCAUGCAGAACACCGAUUGCGAAGGCAGCUUACCAAGCUACUUCUGACGCUGAGGCACGAAAGCGUGGGGAGCAAACAGGAUUAGAUACCCUGGUAGUC
rnacentral:rRNA from 1 species